UGCCUAAACCUCGUAUGAGGCAUGGCAGAAGAAAACCUUGUGAGAAGUAAGCUCGUCAUCAGAGCAUCUCACAAGGUCGUAUGGGGAAACUCAUGCGGGUAGCUCACGCUAUC
rnacentral:sRNA from 12 species